rnacentral:tRNA from 1 species
GCAGUGGUGGUUCAGUGGUCGAAUGCUUACCUUCCAUGCAAGAGACCCAGGUUCUAUUCCUGACUGAUGCA